UCAGCUUUUCUGCCUUUCUGUGAAAGAUUAAAUGUAGUGUCUCUUCUUCUCAGUUUAAUAUCUGAUAUGUCCUCUAUAUGAGGACUGCAUAUUAAAUUGAUUUUUUGCAGGAAUAGGCUGAAAGAGGAGCUCGCUCACCCUGGUCCAUGCAUCGACUCAGUGUUGUAGUUCCUCCAGAAACGAUGAGCCUCUA
ensembl:snRNA U2 U2 spliceosomal RNA